rnacentral:rRNA from 1 species
UACGAAGGGGGCUAGCGUUGCUCGGAAUCACUGGGCGUAAAGCGCACGUAGGCGGCUUUCUAAGUCAGGGGUGAAAUCCUGGAGCUCAACUCCAGAACUGCCUUUGAUACUGGAGAGCUUGAGUCCGGGAGAGGUGAGUGGAACUCCGAGUGUAGAGGUGAAAUUCGUAGAUAUCUGGAGGAACACCGGUGGCGAAGGCGGCAUCCUGGACCAAUAUUGACGCUGAGGAGCGAAAGCCAGGGGAGCAAACAGG